rnacentral:tRNA from 1 species
GCGGGGAUAGCGAAGCGGUCAAUCGAAAGGACCAGACGUGCUCGCUUCAGAGGCGAGUGGCUUAGUGCCUUCGGAGGUUCGAAUCCUCCUCCCCGCA